CUGAGCAUGGAUUACACACUGCAUGCUUUUUCUCACUUUAGUCCAGCGUGUGCAAAUUCCUGGCUCGGAUUUUAUUUUUAUAGCAUUUCAUUUCUGAAGAAAUGGCAGUCCGGGAUGGCUGAGAAUGCCUACGAAUUGUGCGUGAUAUGCCAUAUUGCGUGAAAAGAGGACUGGAUUUUGAACCCUGCAUUCACUUGUGCUUGAGUCAGAGUCAGGCAUUUCACACAGAACUGUGCUCUUGCUUCUCACUGAACAUGAUCACUGAUUAAAAGCCAAACAGAGACGUUUUCCUUUGCACGAGGACUGAAAGCUCACCGCUUGGACGUGAGAUGACAGAGGUGCAGCCGGUGUUGGACUUUGCCUCGUCAGGAAGGUCUGGACGACGCAAUGCUCUGCCUGACAUUUUAGGCUCACCAGCAGGGGUUAACCCAUCUGACCUCCCCCUGAAAUUGACUGAGCUGUCUCUCACAGCAGAUGGGCCAGGUGGAGUUCAGUCCCCAACGUCAGAGGAGGCCUGUCUGCCUGCUGAGAGCUCUGAGGGAAAGGACGAAUCCUAAAAACCUCCCAGUCUCCACUAUGAGAAGCCC